rnacentral:rRNA from 1 species
GAGCAGAGGGUGCAAACGUUGUUCGGAAUUACUGGGCGUAAAGCGCGUGUAGGCGGCUUGGCAAGUCGGGUGUGAAAGCCCCGGGCUCAACCUGGGAAGUGCACUCGAAACUGCUUGGCUUGAGUACUGGAGAGGGAAGCGGAAUUCUCGGUGUAGAGGUGAAAUUCGUAGAUAUCGAGAGGAACACCGGUGGCGAAGGCGGCUCCUGGACAGUUACUGACGCUGAGACGCGAAAGCGUGGGGAGCAAACAGG